GACGAACGCUGGCGGCGUGCUUAACACAUGCAAGUCGAACGGAAAGGCCCUUCGGGGUACUCGAGUGGCGAACGGGUGAGUAACACGUGGGUGAUCUGCCCUGCACUUUGGGAUAAGCCUGGGAAACUGGGUCUAAUACCGAAUACACCUCAUUGACUGCAUGGUUGGUGGGGGAAAGCUUUUGCGGUGUGGGAUGGGCCCGCGGCCUAUCAGCUUGUUGGUGAGGUUACGGCUCACCAAGGCGACGACGGGUAGCCGGCCUGAGAGGGUGACCGGCCACACUGGGACUGAAACACGGUCCAUACACCUACGGGUGGCAG
rnacentral:rRNA from 1 species